CUCAUACAUGGGUAACAGGGUAGUCAGACUUGUCAAACUGUCAUAUAUUUAAAAUAUUUGCCGUGUAUCAUAUAAGGUAGUAUAGGGUAUUUCUUCUUCCAUCUCUGUGCCAGAGUCUUUUUUCCUCUGUUUUACUGUUGAAACAGAGGGGAGAAACAUUCCACAGAGGAACUUUCCCUCUUUUAUUUUGUUUAAACCCAUUUAAGUAAAUCAGGUCAUAUCUUGCUCCGGGUUGGCUACAGCCGAGCAGUACACCCUUCAAGAAAUCCCUCCUUCCUCUCCCAGGGCUUCAGAGGUUCAGAUCCAUCAACCUUCGGCUCUAGGGUUCGGCUUCUCUGGUACAGUACUCGAGAGGGCUAAGGAAUAAGAGGGUAUAGUAACUCCUAAGUUAAGAAACUGAGAGUUUAAAUAAACUCUGCUUAGGAGGUGACCCUUGGAGAGGCGGCACCCUCUCCUUCCUCCUUGCUCCAGAAGCCUACAGAUGCCCUUUCCCUCAGGCCAGCUGUGCUUGUCCN
rnacentral:lncRNA from 1 species